UUAAGCGACUAAGCGUACACGGUGGAUGCCCUGGCAGUCAGAGGCGAUGAAGGACGUGCUAAUCUGCGAAAAGCGUCGGUAAGGUGAUAUGAACCGUUAUAGCCGGCGAUGUCCGAAUGGGGAAACCCAGUGCAAUUCGUUGCACUAUCGUUAACUGAAUACAUAGGUUAACGAGGCGAACCGGGGGAACUGAAACAUCUAAGUACCCCGAGGAAAAGAAAUCAACCGAGAUUCCCCCAGUAGCGGCGAGCGAACGGGGAGCAGCCCAGAGUCUGAAUCAGCUUGUGUGUUAGUGGAACGGUCUGGAAAGUCCGACGGUACAGGGUGAUAGUCCCGUACACCAAAAUGCACAGGCUGUGAACUCGAAGAGUAGGGCGGGACACGUGGUAUCCUGUCUGAAUAUGGGGGGACCAUCCUCCAAGGCUAAAUACUCCUGACUGACCGAUAGUGAACCAGUACCGUGAGGGAAAGGCGAAAAGAACCCCGGCGAGGGGAGUGAAAAAGAACCUGAAACCGUGUACGUACAAGCAGUGGGAGCACCUUCGGGUGUGACUGCGUACCUUUUGUAUAAUGGGUCAGCGACUUAUAUUCUGUAGCAAGGUUAACCGUAUAGGGGRGCCGCAGGGAAACCGAGUCUUAACUGGGCGUUAAGUUGCAGGGUAUAGACCCGAAACCCGGUGAUCUAGCCAUGGGCAGGUUGAAGGUUGGGUAACACUAACUGGAGGACCGAACCGACUAAUGUUGAAAAAUUAGCGGAUGACUUGUGGCUGGGGGUGAAAGGCCAAUCAAACCGGGAGAUAGCUGGUUCUCCCCGAAAGCUAUUUAGGUAGCGCCUCGUGAACUCAUCUUCGGGGGUAGAGCACUGUUUCGGCUAGGGGGUCAUCCCGACUUACCAACCCGAUGCAAACUACGAAUACCGAAGAAUGUUAUCACGGGAGACACACGGCGGGUGCUAACGUCCGUCGUGAAGAGGGAAACAACCCAGACCGCCAGCUAAGGUCCCAAAGUCAUGGUUAAGUGGGAAACGAUGUGGGAAGGCACAGACAGCCAGGAUGUUGGCUUAGAAGCAGCCAUCAUUUAAAGAAAGCGUAAUAGCUCACUGGUCGAGUCGGCCUGCGCGGAAGAUGUAACGGGGCUAAACCAUGCACCGAAGCUGCGGCAGCGACACUAUGUGUUGUUGGGUAGGGGAGCGUUCUGUAAGCCUGCGAAGGUGUGCUGUGAGGCAUGCUGGAGGUAUCAGAAGUGCGAAUGCUGACAUAAGUAACGAUAAAGCGGGUGAAAAGCCCGCUCGCCGGAAGACCAAGGGUUCCUGUCCAACGUUAAUCGGGGCAGGGUGAGUCGACCCCUAAGGCGAGGCCGAAAGGCGUAGUCGAUGGGAAACAGGUUAAUAUUCCUGUACUUGGUGUUACUGCGAAGGGGGGACGGAGAAGGCUAUGUUAGCCGGGCGACGGUUGUCCCGGUUUAAGCAUGUAGGCUGGUUGUCCAGGCAAAUCCGGAUAAUCAAGGCUGAGGUGUGAUGACGAGGCACUACGGUGCUGAAGUAACAAAUGCCCUGCUUCCAGGAAAAGCCUCUAAGCAUCAGGUAACAUCAAAUCGUACCCCAAACCGACACAGGUGGUCAGGUAGAGAAUACCAAGGCGCUUGAGAGAACUCGGGUGAAGGAACUAGGCAAAAUGGUGCCGUAACUUCGGGAGAAGGCACGCUGGUGUGUAGGUGAAGUCCCUGCGGAUGGAGCUGAGACCAGUCGAAGAUACCAGCUGGCUGCAACUGUUUAUUAAAAACACAGCACUGUGCAAACACGAAAGUGGACGUAUACGGUGUGACGCCUGCCCGGUGCCGGAAGGUUAAUUGAUGGGGUUAUCCGUAAGGAGAAGCUCUUGAUCGAAGCCCCGGUAAACGGCGGCCGUAACUAUAACGGUCCUAAGGUAGCGAAAUUCCUUGUCGGGUAAGUUCCGACCUGCACGAAUGGCGUAAUGAUGGCCAGGCUGUCUCCACCCGAGACUCAGUGAAAUUGAACUCGCUGUGAAGAUGCAGUGUACCCGCGGCAAGACGGAAAGACCCCGUGAACCUUUACUAUAGCUUGACACUGAACAUUGAGCCUUGAUGUGUAGGAUAGGUGGGAGGCUUUGAAGCGUGGACGCCAGUCUGCGUGGAGCCAACCUUGAAAUACCACCCUUUAAUGUUUGAUGUUCUAACGUUGGCCCCUGACCGGGGUUGCGGACAGUGUCUGGUGGGUAGUUUGACUGGGGCGGUCUCCUCCUAAAGCGUAACGGAGGAGCACGAAGGUUAGCUAAUCCUGGUCGGACAUCAGGAGGUUAGUGCAAUGGCAUAAGCUAGCUUGACUGCGAGCGUGACGGCGCGAGCAGGUGCGAAAGCAGGUCAUAGUGAUCCGGUGGUUCUGAAUGGAAGGGCCAUCGCUCAACGGAUAAAAGGUACUCCGGGGAUAACAGGCUGAUACCGCCCAAGAGUUCAUAUCGACGGCGGUGUUUGGCACCUCGAUGUCGGCUCAUCACAUCCUGGGGCUGAAGUAGGUCCCAAGGGUAUGGCUGUUCGCCAUUUAAAGUGGUACGCGAGCUGGGUUUAGAACGUCGUGAGACAGUUCGGUCCCUAUCUGCCGUGGGCGCUGGAGAAUUGRGGGGGGCUGCUCCUAGUACGAGAGGACCGGAGUGGACGCAUCACUGGUGUUCGGGUUGUCAUGCCAAUGGCACUGCCCGGUAGCUAAAUGCGGAAGAGAUAAGUGCUGAAAGCAUCUAAGCACGAAACUUGCCCCGAGAUGAGUUCUCCCUGAGACUUUAAGUCUCCUGAAGGAACGUUGAAGACGACGACGUUGAUAGGCCGGGUGUGUAAGCGCAGCGAUGCGUUGAGCUAACCGGUACUAAUGAACCGUGAGGCUUAACCUU
rnacentral:rRNA from 1 species